AUUGAACGCUGGCGGCAUGCUUUACACAUGCAAGUCGAACGGUAACAGGCCUCAAGGUGCUGACGAGUGGCGAACGGGUGAGUAAUGCAUCGGCACGUGCCCAGUCGGGGGGGAUAACGCAGCGAAAGCUGGGCUAAUACCGCAUACGAUCUAUGGAUGAAAGCGGGGGAACGUAAGGCCUCGCACGAUUGGAGCGGCCGAUGUCAGAUUAGGUAGUUGGUGGGGUAAAGGCCUACCAAGCCAACGGUCUGUAGCUGGUGUGAGAGGAUGACCAGCCACGCUGGGACUGGGACACGGAGCAGGCUCCUACGGGAGGCAGGAGUGGGGAAUAUUGAAGAAUGGGUGCAACCCUGAUCCAGCGAUGCCGGGUGAGUGAAGAAGGCCUUAGGGUUGUAAAGCUCUUUAGGUUGGGAAGAAGGUUAUUGGCUGAAUAAUCCAGUACUUUGACGGUACCGACAGAAUAAGAACCGGCAAACUCUGUGCCAGCAGCCGCAGUAAGAC
rnacentral:rRNA from 1 species